GAUGAACGUUGGCGGUGUGCCUAAUACAUGCAAGUCGAACGGAGACUGUAGCAAUACUGUCUUAGUGGCGAACGGGUGAGUAACGCGUUGGUGAUCUGCCUCGAAGUGUGGAAUAACCUCCCGAAAGGGAAGCUAAUACCGCAUAGUCUCUCAAGGUUUAGAAAAUUGAGAGUAAAGGAUUUAUUCGCUUCGAGAGGAGCCUGCGUCCCAUCAGCUAGUUGGUAGGGUAACGGCCUACCAAGGCGAUGACGGGUAGGGGACCUGAGAGGGUGGCCCCCCCAAAUGGAACUGAACACGGUCCAUACACCUACGGGUGGCAGCAGUAGGGAAUAUUAGUAAUGGGCGAAAGCCUGAACUAGCAACACCGCGUGUGCGAUGAAGGCCUUCGGGUUGUAAAGCACUUUUAGAGAGGACGAGGAAGGACGGUACUCUCUGAAUAAGUCUCGGCUAACUACGUG
rnacentral:rRNA from 1 species